CUUCAAUUGGGACAGUCAGGCAUAGAGCGGCGCCUCAGGAUACAUAUGACUACGUUGAAAUACAACAGUACGUAGGCUGAUUUUGCAUCACGCCACUAUUGCAACCGGCACUCCCACCAGACCAUGACUCUUCAGUUUGACAACGAGUGUUGACGGCAAAACUGAAAAGGUAUCAUAUUUUUGAAGAUAACCAAGGAUGGUAUAUUUGUAUAGCCUAUUUGUUAUAAAUGCACAUCUGUGCGUAUUUGUGCAUGGUUUUGUCUGCGUGUGUUCUAUCGACGCGUUUGACCUACAGUAAGGUGUUCACUCCAGAUCAAGAAAAAGGGUUAAUCUCUCCCAUUCACCUAUCUCACGGUCAGAGUGCUUGGGGGAGAAGACAGCAGCAUGAAGGAGCAGCAGAAAAAGGAUUUAGAACCAUGGUGCCGGCUCUUAUCAAGAAGUUCUGCGUUGGGUUCCAUGACAUCCUCGCGCUU